rnacentral:rRNA from 1 species
AGUUUUUUGUUAGUUUUAUAAAAAAUAUUUUCUGCUCGGUGAUUUUAAACAGCCGCGGUAAUUUGACCGUGCAAAGGUAGCAUAAUCAUUUGCUCCAUAAUUGGGGGCUAGAAUGAAUGGAAUUACAAGAUUUUUUCUUUAUUAAAGAGAAAAUAAGAAUUUGCUUUUUUAGUGAAGAAGCUAAAAUUUAUUUAUGGGACAAGAAGACCCUUUUGAGCUUUAUUAAGAGUGCUUUUUGUAAGUUUAAUUAAUUUGGUUGGGGCGACCAAGGAAGAGUGAUCUUCCUUUAUUACUUUGAUCCAAGGUUUUUGAUCGAUGGAAUAAGUUACCAAAGGGAUAACAGCGUAAUUUUUUUUGUGAGUUCUUAUUUAAAAAAAAGAUUGCGACCUCGAUGUUGACUUAUAGUUUCCUUUUGGUGCAGCAGCUGAAAUGGUGGGUCUGUUCGACCUUUAAAACUUU